AUCCCCACUAUCCUAUUUCUCUUAACAUGCAAGCUAUCCACAUCAGCAACCUAUCACAUCUAACAUGCAGACUCCACGUCAUAACAUCUGCCAACUAAGUAAUUAUUUUUCUUAUUUUUUCCAACGAAUCGUCAGUCUGGCUCCUCCCUUCGUGAUAUCCAGAAACAAUAACUCCUUCCGCUUCUCCACCCCCGCCUCUCCCCCUCCCUCCAUCAGUAACAUCCGCCCCGCAUCCCCAACCCUCCCUCGCUUUUACUCCUCGCCUUGGGCAUCCUCUUCCUCACCUUGGGUUCCUCUCAAGGUCGGCGUGUCUUCUUCACCUACCGAUGCCAUCCAGGGCUACCUUGGAUUCUGAGUGAUUGGCCAGCAACGAAAGUCCCAUGGCGUUAUUGUCUUAGAUCAUGGUGGCCCUGUCCCCGCAUCAUGAAAUUAUUCUUCUCACCAAAGGAUCGCAAGACAAUCGAUUUGGAAGGAGGUCGCACCAACGGGGAUCAAAGUAGGCUAAUCGAUAAGACAACGUCUUCUCGAUCGAUCAAUCUCGCCUGUCCGGUCCAACAGGCAAACUCGACCUUAAUCUACAGCUAUAUAUAACGGCGACACGUGCGAUGUGGCCGCGGCAUGUUUACCAGCGGCCUGACGGGCAAUGGACGGGAGUAACGCUAUUCUUCCAUGUUUUCGAUCUCACCCUUUUGAUGCAGGAGAUUUUUGCAUCGGUCCAUACGACGGAUAUAAACAUUCAGUUAUUUCUUAGAUUUUUGAGAAAAAUGCCAGCCGUUCAUUCAUUUGACCAGAGAAAAAAAAUCAGAUGAAAAGAAAAGGAAAAAGGAUCAGAUGAAAAAAAACUAGCAUGGAUAUUCAUUAUUUCCCUACAUUUAAAACUGAUUAUAUUUAUUAAAUCAAUUUAAGUCUUGCGGAAGCUACAAUUAUUUUGCAAUCCCCUUUUACAGUGAUGGUUCAUGUAUUGCUCAUAUUCGUCGUGCUACAAAAGCAUAGCGUUUUUCUCUCUCUUAAUUUUAUG